rnacentral:rRNA from 1 species
AUUGAACGCUGGCGGCAGGCUUAACACAUGCAAGUCGAGCGGGGAAAAGUAGCUUGCUACUGGACCUAGCGGCGGACGGGUGAGUAAUGCUUAGGAAUCUGCCUAUUAGUGGGGGACAACAUCUCGAAAGGGAUGCUAAUACCGCAUACGUCCUACGGGAGAAAGCAGGGGACCUUCGGGCCUUGCGCUAAUAGAUGAGCCUAAGUCGGAUUAGCUAGUUGGUGGGGUAAAGGCCUACCAAGGCGACGAUCUGUAGCGGGUCUGAGAGGAUGAUCCGCCACACUGGGACUGAGACACGGCCCAGACUCCUACGGGAGGCAGCAGUGGGGAAUAUUGGACAAUGGGGGGAACCCUGAUCCAGCCAUGCCGCGUGUGUGAAGAAGGCCUUUUGGUUGUAAGGCACUUUAAGCGAGGAGGAGGCUACCGAGAUUAAUACUCUUGGAUAGUGGACGUUACUCGCAGAAUAAGCACCGGCUAACUCUGUGCCAGCCGCCGCUGUAA